ensembl:lncRNA
GAGACGCGGCUGCGUAGACUCCUCCCUAACUCUAGUUAGGGAGUUAACGCCGGGAUGGAUAGGUCCCGCACCACGACAUUAAACCCUCGAUAUAGACUAUAGACAUUCAUCGAGGCGGUGUUCUGAACAUUGAGUGGACGUCGUUGGCGUCCGCGGCGUUUCUCGGCUUCGGUGUGGACGUUUUGCCUCAGCUUGUGACGAAACGGAUCAGAAGUUUCUGGCACCACUUCAGCUCCUUCCACGGAGAAGAGCAUAAGAUGACGGUGAUGAUGAUCCUGAUGAAGGCCACAAACCUAAAUGUGU